UUUACGCUGGGUUUGCGCUCCCUCCGUCUUGAUCUUGAGCGCAGCCGCGAGCACCUUCCAAGCCCUCCACCUCGCCGGGGCUUCAGAAGCCCCAGCCGUCCUGACCCCCAACCCCCACUCCUGCCUUGGGACAUAGGACAAACUUGCGGUAUAAAAGAGCAACUGGCACAGUAAACAUCCAGCCCUAGAACACUCCACCGAAGUGUGGGAGAGCGGCUAGAACCCUCUUCCGGUUGGAGGAGCCAGUGAGCACCACGGUUUGUGUUCCAAAGUUACUUGGGGUAUAAAGAUUGCUCUAUGAUCAGUACAGCUGUUCAUACCUGCACCAGCGGUGGCCGUGGGCUCGGCCAACUCUCCACCAGUUUACUGUGCUGUGGUCGUUGAGUGGCGUAGAGAGGAAGGAACAUCUGGGUUUGAGAUGAGGCAAAAGUGUCACUGUGCCAGUUCUGAGCCUCCGGUUUAAGAAACCUGUGGGUUUCUGCCAUCACAAUGAGAAAAACCUGCUUGGGGCAGCUGGUCUCAGGAAGAGGUUGAUGGACAUAUGGAAGAGUGUUACCAGCUGGCUCCUCUUACACUAGCCAACCCUCAGCAGAUGCAUGUUCUAAAUAAAUGCUUAUUAUUAUAUGGCAGUUAAGUACUGUUGUUGCUUGUUGUACAUAAUUAUUAGAGUGAUAGUAAAUAAUGACAAUUAGUUUCUUUGCCUUUAUUCACUUGAACAACUUUUAACAUUGUAAUCAAUAUAAGUCAACCAAAAUAGUAAAAGUCA